UAUUGAUUUGAUUGUACGGUUUUUAUUUCUUUAAUGAAAUUUCUUUUUAUUGGAUUGUGUUUCUCUAUAGAAUAUUUGAAUUUGGUGACUAUAGGUUUAAUAAUUCUGUAAUAGAAUUUGCAAAGAUUGUAUAUUUAUUGGAUUAACAGCAUUUUGGGUAUUGUUAGUGGUGAAUUUCUGCUGGCCUACCUAUUUGCUAGUGGUGAACAAGCCUCGAAAGAUAGGGAAGCUGCUGUUUUGGCUCUUGGUGCAACUGGUGAAGGUUGCGUUACUGGUCUUUAUUCUCAUUUGUCCGAGGUAAUUCUUGUUGUUUUUAACCGGUACACAAAGUUUAGAGGCAGAUUACAAGGUGAAGAAUAAAUGGUGCAUAUAUAACAGUCAUCGGUUUUCCUUAACUCAAUUUAUGCUCUUAAAUUUUUUAUUUUUGCUAUUGUAUUGCUUUUACUUUAUUCUUCUUUGACAUGCUUGCCGCAGAAUUUGAAAAAAAAAAAGUCAAAUUUAUGUCUGCAUAUUGUGGCAUUUCUAUGUCCCCUUUUAGAUCAUGCGGAAGAAUUCUUCUUGGACACUUUCUCGAUUCAGUUCAGUUGAGAGCUUUCGUGUUUCCUUUAUAUCAGUCUAGUGGGCAUCAGAAAGGCUAUGAGCAAUUUGAUGCUGUAUGGGUAUGCUGCGAAGAAUAUUGGAUGCUAACAAGUGGGUAAAAGAGGCUGUUUAACCGGCUUUUGCAAUGCUUGAAGAGGUUAUUAUAAACUUGCUGCACGUUGUAAUUCAGGUUAAAUUCUUAUAGAUUUCAACAAUUGUUUUAUUCAUUUGAGGCUGCUGAAGAGGUUGCACCAAGUUUGGAAAUAAUUGUGUACACUAGCUUAUGCGCGUGCUUUUGUCUAACAUCAGGCUUGUGUAGCAUUUGGUCAGCUAAUUGAAGUCCGCCCAUCUUUUCUGGAGCCACACUUGAAGAAUGUAAGUGGAUAUAUGUUGCAAGUCAAUAAAGGCAUUGAUGAAUGAUGUGGCCCUUGAAACAUGUAAAUUUGGGUAACUUUCUUCUUUGUGCAUUCCAUGUCUGAAUGUCAUAUAUUUUAGAUUAAGAUGUCUUUUAAAACCAUUUUUUUAUACCCGUGUCUUUUAGUCUCAAUGUCAUAAACGUGUCUUUUCAUGCCUAUCCACCACCUUUUUUUUUUUGUUUUUUCUUGUGAUGUGAUUUUUAACUAUUUGACAGUCACAUUUGAAGAAUGUAAUUGAAUAUAUGUUACGAAUGAAUAAGGCCAUUGAUGAAUGAUGAAGUAGCACUUUAAGCAUGUGAAUUUUGGUAACUUUCUUAUUUGUGCAUUCGAUGUCUGAAUGUCUUAUAUGUAGAUUAAGAUGUCUUUUAAACCAUAUUUUUGAUAGCUUAUGCAGAUUGACAUGCUUCAAACUAAUAGUUUUUGGCAGAAUGCAAUAUCUCUUGAAUUUAGCCUUUUCUUUUACUUGCUCACCUCUGCUUGUUCACAUAACAUGUUUGUUAAACAUGUCAGAAGUGAUGGAGGUGUGCUUGCCCCUGUGCCUCUGCCUCUAUGUGCUAUCGAACUAUAGUUAUAAAAAAUUUUAAUAUU